rnacentral:misc_RNA from 1 species
AUUUACUUUAUUAAGAAAAAAAGAGAUUCUCAAGUAUGAGAAAUCAGGGUAAUAAUUGUUACAACCAAAAAGACGGUCACAAAGGGAAAUACAACUUGUAGCAAGUUGUCUACCUAGAGACUCAGCAUGAAUCAAUGAGACCGUGACCGCAUAAAUUCUUCAAGUUUCUCCCACACCUCAAGUGCUGCAGCUCUGUCCUGGUGGCGUUUGUUCUUACUAAUCGAGAUAAUCUUGACAUUCCAUUGCUUCACGGUCUUCGCUGACUCCACACUGUCAUCCUCAAAACGCAAAAAAAAUCCUACAACCCUGUUAAAGGUCUCAACAUGAUCCUUAAAAGGCCAAUCUUUGAACUGCCAGUCUUUCCCCAACACAAAAACUGCCACCACACGGUCCCAAUCUUCCGGCUUCAAGGCAGAAGGCUUAUCUCUAACCUCAUAUGCUGUAACUACCCUAUCCCUACUAAACUUCUUUUGUACUGUUAUACAGUCCGGUUUUGACCCCUUCAUCUGCUUCAGUUUCACAUCAGUUGGUAUAAACACCCCAUCCUCCAAAAAGUCCUUCACAUUAUAGAUGGUGAUCAAAGUCGAAAAGGCACUGGGAACCAAAAUAAUGGGAACACCCUCCCCUAUCUUACUCCCCUUCAAAUGCAUUUUCGCCUUGGGCCCUCCAUCAUAUCCUAUUUCAUCACCACCUCCAUACCCCCUAUCUAUCCGAUUCUUAGCAACCAACCCAUCUUUUCUCUGCAAGGAUUCCGCCCGGUGCCGCUCCUCAUCUCUACGCAACGCAGCCGUAAAAACACUAUAGAAAUCCCGGUUCUUACAAAACAAAAUCGCCUCUCUAUCCUUCAAAGGCUUCUCAGCAGCUUUAAUCAGCUCAAUAGGGUUUUGAUUUUCCAAAACCCUAACAUCACUCAUCACAUUCUCCUCAUUGCCCGUAACACCAGCUGAAACAGAAACAGGAACUGAAGUAUCAUUCGACUGAGGGAAUUUGAGGAAUUCAAUAGAAUCUGA